CCUUCGAUAGCUCAGUUGGUAGAGCGGUGGACUGUAGUUGUUUAAUCAUCAGAAAUCCAUAGGUCGCUGGUUCGAAUCCGGCUCGAAGGA
rnacentral:tRNA from 1 species